AUUAUCUACACCGGAUCACAAGGCGCAGCCAAACGGCGUCCAAAAGGUGUUCGCUGCUUAUGGCUAAACCGCACUUCCCGGAACAGCACCACUCUCCAGCCUAAUAACUCUCUAUUUACAAUAAUCGUUCACCCUUCCGUCUUCGGUCGUCCCACGAUUCCUCCUUCUUCUCUCCAGGUUCCUCACAGUCGGCGGUUCUUCUGGAGCAAUCGGGUUCUCAACCUACCCAUGACUCAAUUGCCUCUGGUGGUUCCUUUCAUAAUUAAGGAUUGUGCUCCCAUCUGAACCGGUAACUACACCACCUACGAUCUCCAUUCCCGCCAUAUAAGUCUUCGAUUUUGGCACUUUUUUGUGCCAACAUUAUCGAUGAAGCAGUCUUUAGUGGUGAAGAAGAGCCUUAAAUUGUGGGCUAAGGUUAACUAAAUCCUGUUUUCCCAAAGUGUAACUCUUCGUUUUCUUCUUCAUCCAGACGCCUCCACCUCCUGUUCUCUUAUAUCUCCAUAUUAAUUGACACCUCCUCCGUUGAUCAUGACCAUCCCUCAACAUCAGCAGCAUCAGCCUUCAAAUUUCCAUUCAAAACACAAGAAAUCAAACAUCUUUCCCAAGUCGUCUACAAAUCAGUUUCAGAGCAGGGGAAGAACGAGGAUGGUUAUCUCAUGUUAUCGUUUUUCAUUUUGGGAUUUUUGAUUGUUGGUUAUUGAUGAUGGUGAUUAUUAGCUCCAUAAGAAAAGCAAAAACAUCAAAGAAUUAUGAACUUAACAAUUCUCAUAUUGGAGAUGGCUUUCAAGCUAAGCCCUAUGGUGAGAGAUGCAGGUUUGUAAAUGGGAUAACCAUGGUUAGAAGAUUGGCCAAGAUAAUGUUGUUGGUCGGGAAAGUUUUUAUCUUUAUGCAAAGUUCUAUAAGGUAUGGCAAUUUAUGACUUAAAUAAUCCCUCUAAUGAAAUCCCCUAGAAAGAUACAAUAAUGAAAUCCCAAUUAUAGCAUUUUAUUUCCAAAAAAAAUCUAAUAUGUAUGCUUUGUGUAUGUGUUUGGUUUGUCGGUGGUGUGUGUAUGCUUUGUAUGUGUGUAUGUUAGUGUCUGUAAUAAUAAAUUUGGUUUAAAUGCAAGAAAUAGCAAUUGCAGUUUGUUGUUAUUUCUGUAAUUUAGCCCAUUAUUAAAUGUAUGUUGAUACUUCUUGCAGUUUUGACA